UCCUGAUAAAGCUAAACCCACCGUGAGAUGGGGGCGGAAAGCCUCGGAUCUUGCAAGAGAUGGCCGGACUGCCUGG
rnacentral:ncRNA from 1 species